UACGUAGGUGGCAAGCGUUGUCCGGAUUUACUGGGCGUAAAGAGCGCGCAGGCGGCCAAGUAAGUCGAAUGUGAAAGCCCCCGGCUUAACUGGGGAGGGUCAUUCGAUACUGCCUGGCUCGAAGACAGGAGAGGGAAGCGGAAUUCCCGGUGUAGUGGUGAAAUGCGUAGAUAUCGGGAGGAACACCAGUGGCGAAGGCGGCUUUCUGGCCUGUUCUUGACGCUGAGGCGCGAAAGCCAGGGGAGCGAACGGG
rnacentral:rRNA from 1 species